GACAAACGCUGGCGGGUGCAUGAGACAUGCAAGUCGAACGAGGUGCCAUUGAGCUUGCUUGAUGGUUACCUAGUGGCGGACGGCUGAGUAACGCGUAGGUGACCUGCCCGGAAGUGGGGAAUAACUGCCCGAAAGGGUGGCUAAUACCGCAUGUGGUCGAUGAUUCAUUUCGUCGUCUAAAGGAGUAAUCCGCUUCCGGAGGGGCCUGCGUCCGAUUAGCUAGUUGGNGAGGUAACGGCUCACCAAGGCGACGAUCGGUAGCUGGUCUGAGAGGAUGAUCAGCCAGACUGGGACUGAGAACGGCCCAGACUCCUAC
rnacentral:rRNA from 1 species